UAAACUAUCUACGCUAUUGAAUGUGAGGGGGAAAAGUUCAGCUUUCCAACCGUCCUUUGGACAAUUCAUCAUUAAUGUGACCUCAAAUCAGGUAGGACUACCCGCUGAACUUAAGCAUAUCAAUAAGCGGAGGAAAAGAAACUAACAAGGAUUCCCCUAGUAACUGCGAGUGAAGCGGGAAAAGCUCAAAUUUAAAAUCUGGCGGCCUUUUGGCUGUCCGAGUUGUAAUCUAGAGAAGUGUUAUCCGCGCUGGACCGUGUACAAGUCUCCUGGAAUGGAGCAUCAUAGAGGGUGAGGAUCCCGUCUUUGACAUGGACUGCCAGGGCUUUGUGAUGCGCUCUCAAAGAGUCGAGUUGUUUGGGAAUGCAGCUCAAAAUGGGUGGUAAAUUCCAUCUAAAGCUAAAUAUUGGCGAGAGACCGAUAGCGAACAAGUACCGUGAGGGAAAGAUGAAAAGAACUUUGGAAAGAGAGUUAAACAGUACGUGAAAUUGCUGAAAGGGAAACGCUUGAAGUCCGUCAUGUCAUCCAGGGAUCAACCUUGCUUUUGCUUGGUGCACUUCCUGGUUUGACGGGCCAGCAUCAAUUUUGACCGUUGGAAAAAGGCUAGGGGAAUGUGGCAUCUCUGGAUGUGUUAUAGCCCUUGGUCACAUACAAUGGUUGGGAUUGAGGAACUCAGCACGCCGCAAGGCCGGGUGUUCGCACCACGUACGUGCUUAGGAUGCUGGCAAUAUGGCUUUAAUCGACCCGUCUUGAAACACGGACC
rnacentral:rRNA from 1 species